UACGAAGGGUGGACGACGUUACUCGGAAUUACUGGGCGUAAAGCGUGCGUAGGUGGUUUGUUAAGUCUGCUGUGAAAGCCCCGGGCUCAACCUGGGAAUGGCAGUGGAUACUGGCAAGCUAGAGUGCGGUAGAGGGUAGUGGGAAUUCCCGGUGUAGCGGUGAAAUGCGUAGAGAUCGGGAGGAACACCAGUGGCGAAGGCGGCUACCUGGACCAGCACUGACACUCAGGCACGAAAGCGUGGGGAGCAAACAGG
rnacentral:rRNA from 1 species